rnacentral:rRNA from 1 species
CCUACGGGUGGCAGCAGUGAGGAAUAUUGGUCAAUGGACGCAAGUCUGAACCAGCCAUGCCGCGUGCAGGAAGACGGCUCUAUGAGUUGUAAACUGCUUUUGUACGAGGGUAAACGCAGAUACGCGUAUCUGUCUGAAAGUAUCGUACGAAUAAGGAUCGGCUAACUCGGUGCCAGCAGCCGCGGUAAUACGGAGGAUUCAAGCGUUAUCCGGAUUUAUUGGGUUUAAAGGGUGCGUAGGCGGUCGGAUAAGUUAGAUGUGAAAUCCCGAGGCUCAACUGAGGAAUUGCAUUUGAUACUGGUGGGCUAGAGUGUAGGUGCGGUAGGCGGAAUGUAUGGUGUAGCGGUGAAAUGCUUAGAGAUCAGACAGAACACCGAUUGCGAAGGCAGCUUACCAAGCUACUUCUGACGUUGAGGCACGAAAGCGUGGGGAGCGAACAGGAUUAGAUACCCGUGUAGUC